AUUGAACGCUGGCGGCAGGCCUAACACAUGCAAGUCGGGCGAGCGGCGGACGGGUGAGUAAUGUAUGGGGCCUGCCUGAUGGAGGGGGAUCACUACUGGAAACGGUAGCGAAUACCGCAUACCAUCAGCUAACCCAUAUGGGAUUAACUUGUAGGUAAGGUAACGGCUUACCUAGGCGACACUCCCUCGCUGGUCUGGGGGGAUGAUCGUCCACACUGGGCUGAGAAAACGGCCCAGAGUCCGAGGGAGGGACCAGUGGGGAAUAUUGCAGAAUGGGCGCAGUCCGAAUGCGGCCAGUCCGGAGAGAGGAGGAAGGCUUGCGGUUGUUAAGGUACUUUCAGUCGGGAGGCGUUACCGACAGAAAAAGCACCGGCUAACUCCGUGCCAGCCGCCGCGGUAAUUC
rnacentral:rRNA from 1 species